GUGUAUACAACUGCAGUUUGAUCAUCCAUAUGUUUCUCCAUUGUAUUAUUAAUUCCCUAAUCUAUGUAUAGACCAUACCAAUGUAAUUUUGAGGGAAAAUUUUGUUUAUGCCACUAAUAUAUGAAUUCCCAACUUCUGACGUACUCCACUAGUUACUGUGUGACUUCUCGUUUAUGUCACUACUAUCAAGCCACAUACCAUUUUUUUUCCUGUUUUGCUCCCAUUCUGUCAAUUUGGACUGUAAGAGAAAACAUUGCAAAAUGACAGAUAUAUCUUCCCUGUGUC
rnacentral:sRNA from 1 species